rnacentral:rRNA from 1 species
GACGAACGCUGGCGGCGUGCUUAACACAUGCAAGUCGAACGAUGAAGCUGGAGCUUGCUCCGGUGGAUUAGUGGCGAACGGGUGAGUAACACGUGAGCAAUCUGCCCUUGACUCUGGGAUAACUGCGGGAAACUGUAGCUAAUACCGGAUACGAGGCUCGAAGGCAUCUUCGGGUCUGGAAAGAAUUUCGGUCAAGGAUGAGCUCGCGGCCUAUCAGCUUGUUGGUGAGGUAAUGGCUCACCAAGGCGACGACGGGUAGCCGGCCUGAGAGGGUGACCGGCCACACUGGGACUGAGACACGGCCCAGACGCCUACGGGAGGCAGCAGUGGGGAAUAUUACACAAUGGGCGAAAGCCUGAUGCAGCAACGCCGCGUGAGGGAUGAAGGCCUUCGGGUUGUAAACCUCUUUUAGCAGGGAAGAAGCGAAAGUGACGGUACCUGCAGAAAAAGCACCGGCUAACUACGUGCCAGCCGCCGCGGUAA